AUUGAACGCUGGCGGCAGGCCUAACACAUGCAAGUCGAACGAGUGGCGGACGGGUGAGGAAUGUCUGGGAAACUGCCUGAUGGAGGGGGAUAACUACUGGAAACGGUAGCUAAUACCGCAUACCAUCAGAUGUUCCCAGAUGGGAUUAGCUAGUUGGUGGGGUAACGUCUAACCAAGGCAACGAUCCCUAGCUGGUCUGAGAGGAUGACGAGCAAAACGGGCACUGGGACACGGUCCAGACUACUACGGGAGGAAGCAGUGGGGAAUAGUGCACAAUGGGCGAAAGCCGGAUGCAGCCAUGCCGCGUGUAUGAAGAAGGCCUUCGGGUUGUAAAGUACUUUCAGCGGGGAGGCGUUACCCGCAGAAGAAGCACCGGCUAACUCCGUGCCAGCAGCCGCGGUAAUAC
rnacentral:rRNA from 1 species